rnacentral:lncRNA from 1 species
ACAAAAAUAUGUGUUCCUAUAACAUUGCUUAUGCUCCCCCGCACUCCUUCAGCCAGUUGUUUCACGUCAUCUGUGGAGAUGAUGUAAACAUAAUCAUCAAAUAUAUUAAGGACUACAAAGUUUAAUCACUUGGAAUCCAAAACGAAAAUGAACAACAUUUGUAAAUGGUGGGAGAAUUACAUAUUAAUUGAGUAGUUAAAAGAAAACUAGCUUGAUUCAGGACUUUGCUCUGCUGCGAGUAUAAAAAUGAUCCACAAUUGCUGGCAAAGAUGUAAGAUUGUCAUGUUUGUCUAAAUACAAGAGAUGUAUCCCUAUCUUCUUUACUCUUAACUUUCUCAGCUUCGUCUAAUGGGUGGACUGUUAUCUGCUCCCCGCCUUUGAUCAUCCCGUCAUCUCUUAAGUAAGGUAUGUAAUAUAUCCAUGAUACUUCUUCGUAUUCUUGGGGUACAAUAAUAUUGCAAUGCGUUGACAUACAUACUCUCUCUAUAGGAUACAGUAACGACAAAGUGUCCAUAAGAGCAUAAACCCUUAAUGUGGCAAUUAACAAGCCAGACAACCAUUCCGAAAAACUUAUACUUGUCUUUAUUAUGUACUGUGGGCAUAGUGAAACAGACAGAUGGAGCUGUUACUUUAUAGCUGCACCAACCUGGAAUCUCAUUGCUUUCGAGAUUAAUUUGUAACCCAUGCUUCAUCAGACAAAGACACAAUUAUCUAGAUCAUUAAUUCAUUAAUAAUGUGAUACAAUUGAGAUUGAGAGAAAAGGAGAGAGUAUAACCUGAAGUGUACGUUUUACAAUUAGAGCAUGUGCACUAAAGAAGUCUUUAUUGAAUGGAUUCUGCAGACAAGUACAAUUAAGAAUGUUGAUAUGCAAUAUUGAAGGGAGUUUGUCCAACCCUGUUAUCUCGACCAACUUCUGGCAAUUCUCAAGUUCAAGAGUUUCGAGAUUCUCUAAAUUUGAUAACAAAGGGAGUCUUUGAAGAUACUCACAUAAUUCCUUCAACCAUCGUAACUUGGAAAAAUCAAAGGGCGGACCAUGAAAACUGUUGCCACUCAAAUCUAAAGAUACUCAGUGGCGGCUCUACAGCUUUGAAAAAAAAACAACUGCCUUAGGCACCAAAAUUUGAGGGGCCUCAUUUUUUAAAAAUACAAGAGGUUAUACAUAUUUUUUUUAAAAAAUAUCGCGUAUAAUUUGUAGAAAAUAUAAUUUUUUCAUAAAAGAGCAAGGAAGUAAUAGAAGUUUGACAAAUUAUGAGUACUAUGUCUCAAGAAAGAUUAAAUAAUUGGCUAUAAUAAACUUCAUAAAAAAUAUAUAUUCGAAUUUAAGGCCUCCAUUCGAAUUUUGCUUUAGGCCACCGAUUUAUUAGAGCCGCCCCUGAUUAGAUACUAAGGAGGUUAAACUCCCAAUAUCCACAUGAAAAGCAGCCUUGGAUAAACCAAAAUUUUUAAGGACUAAACACGAAAGAGAAGUCGAUAUGGAUUUUAUGACUAAUUCCUUGAUUAUUGGCCUGUAUAUAUGCAUUUCCAACUUCUAAAGUUUCAAGAUUUCUUAGCAUUUCAGCAGAUGUAGGCAAUUGUUUUAUAUCUGUAUCACUUGUUUUGUCAAUUGGCAGUGUUCGUACAGAAAAGCAUCUAGCAAUGUCUAAGAAUUUAAGGGAUUUUAGCUGGCAUAUUGAUUGAACGAUCUCCUUCAGCCUUGAGAAACCUUGAAGCUUUAAAGUCUCGAGAUUUGUUGCACCGUUGAAGUUUGGAGUUUUUUUGAGGGCCGAGCACCAAGAGAGAUUCAACUCCUUCAACCUUGGGCAACACUAAAUGUCAACCAAAUCCAACAUUCAAGUUAUAUAAGAUUAUUUUGUAUAAUUUCACUAGUCAAUGAAAAAUGUAGAAUUGGGCAACAAAUUAAACCUGGAAAUUCAAACCAAAUUCUUCGAUAGCACUCCCUUCCAUAUUAAGAACUACAAGAUUCGCAGCUGGAAAAUUUGGUGGAAUAUAUUUUAAAUGACAUCUUUGCCAAGAUAACCAUUUGAGCUCCUUGGGAAAAUGCCACAAAUCUCCAUGAAUACGUAAUCCAUUGAUUAUAAGCACCCUGAGUUUCUUCAUUUUCUUAAAUGCAUCGGUGCUCAACUCCACUCCCUCUAAUUCCCCUGGUUCAUCUAACCUCAUUACUUGUACAUUUCCGGAACCCUGUAGUUCAGAGAAAAUGUUUUAAUUAGGACUAAGAAUUGUAACACGACAUACAAUUAAAUUGAAAAGGAAAAAGAAUUUACUCAUGUUUUUUCCUCGUAAAACAGCACAGACUUGUUGAGGUAUGAAUAAUCUACUCCGUUCUCCAAGGCAUUGAGAUUCUGAGCGAACAAUUUCUCUUCCCAUAUCUCGCACUAGAUCAUGCAUACUUACACAACCCCCAAGUACCCCUUGGAGCAACUGUUUUUGGACUAAAGUUGCAAUUUCACAUUCAGUAUGAAAACCACAUGCAUUUAGUAUUUUGGUUUUCUUGAGAGUCUUUUGGAUAUCAUCACGAGGAAUUUCUUUUAGUCUCUUGAAUUUGCGUCUCCAGUUUUCUAUGGAUUCCCAUCGCAAAUGUGAACCCAAUGUCACAAGUGCUAAUGGUAGCCCACUGAAUAUUUGAUUAUGUCUUUCGCCACCCCAACAUAGUCUUGAGGUGGAGAAAGACUGUCAAAAGCAUGACGAUAAAAAAGUUGCUGAGAUUCAUUGUCAUUUAAUAGGUUGGUCAUAUAUCUUUUUGCAUUAAGCCAACUUAGCAAAAGCUCGUCUUGGGUUGUAAUAACUAUUAUACUACCCAAACCAAACCAUUCCUUUUCUUUUGUUAACGAUUCUAAUUGUUUUUUUUUUGUGUCCACAUCAUCAAGAACAAUUAGAACCUUCUUUGACCCCAGUUUUCUUUUGAUUAGAUUGAUUCCUUCAGCAACAGUGCGAACUUUGUACUCCUCGGUUUUGAACAGUAUAUUGAGAAGUUUCUCUUGUACCCUUUCUAGACCCUUUUUUUCUAGCAAUCUAACAUCAGAAAGGAAGCAACUACCAUCGAAGUGUACAUCUCUAAAUAAUCGAUUGUAGAUAUCUUUGGCCAGAGUUGUUUUCCCGAUUCCACCAACUCCAUAUAUACCAACCAUGUGAACUUCAUCUAUGUGUCCAUUUUGCAAUAACGACUUUAUAGGUUUAGUACGAGAAUCAACUCCAAUUGGGUAAGAAGCAACAUGUAGAGGUGUAUGGUUGACCUCUUUCUUCAUAUCUUGUAUAAUCAUUUCAAUAAAUUCAGCUUCAUGCCUACCAAUAUUUUUACCAAAAAACACUCACAUGAUGGGAGGUGUUACGCUUUAAAAUAGUUGCCUAUCUAUGGAUGGCAAUGGGGGCGGUGCGGGACGGGACGCGUUGAGCUUAAUGUAUAAAAAAUUUAAUUCGCUCUGCAUAACAAUUUUUUUCAUUUUCAACCUGCCCACAUGAAACUCCCCACAUAGUUUUUUUAAAUAUUUUUCUUUUCUAGUUAAGUUUGAUACUCAAAAUGAAAUUCAUAAAAAUAAAUUCUUUUUUUCAUUAAGUUGUAUUAAUUUAAUAGAAAAUGACCUAAAUUUUAUUUUUUAGAAGUCAAUUGGGAAACAUGUAAGAAAUUGUAUUAAUUUUUAUUGAAUCAUUUUCUUUUACCAUCUUGAAUAUUUUAGUAGCUUUAGAGAAAUUAUCUUAAUAAAUAAUGUUCUAUCACUCUUAUAACAUGUAAAAAGUUAAAAUUAAAUUGAAUCCACAUAAUGCCACAUAUUCCCGCAACCCAUCCCGUCCCACAUAGCCUUAAAUCCACUCCAACCCGCAUCCGCCCCGUCUCAUUGUUAUCUAUGGCUAUCAAACGACCCAAAAUUGUUAACCGAAACAAAAAGGAAGUUUCCUAAGAGGUACUUUCUCUUUUGGGUAAUAACCAUAGUUAAUAGUAUAAUUAAAAACAUUACAUUUCAUCCUUGUAGGAAAUUACUUAUGGGGUUCUUGAUAGGCAAUCUUACUGUGGAGGAAAGUUGAUAGAAAUUAAAUGGAAACAUUCAAAUUCUUUUUCUUUUUAAUUGAAUGGUUUCACAUUCUAAAUUUCUCUACCCACCAAAGGUCAAUUCUAAUAGUGGUUGCAUCUUGAAUUGGACCCUUUUUAUUUUUAAACAAAUUUCUUAGUACACAAAACAAAUAUAUUGCUUACGUAAAGCAAGGUAUCAUAAAUUCACGUUGAAACAUUGUAGUUGCCCUUUAAAAUUUUACAACUUAUGAUUUUCAUCUUUUUUAAAAAAAAAAAAAUGCAAGAAAUAUGUCAUGAUGUUCCACUAUGCCUUUAUAAAUCUCCAUUUAUCUUUGUUUUGUUUGUUUAAUCGAAAUUUAAUCUUCUUACUGUUACGAUUACCAGAUUUUACACACUACUUGCCUAUUCUUUCUUCUUCUAACCUUUUCUUUUCCUUUUUGAAUAUUUUCUUUUAAUAUUAGUAUUUCUUUUGAAUGGUCUAACCAGUAGUUGAACUUAGAAGCUUUCUUUGGUUAUGAAACCAAAUUAAUAUUAUUUACCUUAUAUAGAGGUAUUGCCACUAUAAGUAAUACAAGGAUUAACUAUUUUACGCAAAAUUUUAGUAAAUGUGCUUUUACAUAAAUUUCCAUUCAGUGUGACAUACACGAAGUAAAACCACAUGUUUCUUCUUUUUGCAUUCCAAAAAAAAGGAAGAAGAUUCUUCUCCAUUACUAAAAAUCAAUAAAUUACACAGUUCAAUCACUUACAAUGUUCCCUGGCAUUGUAUGUUAAUCAAAGAGACGCUAUAUUCACUAUACAAUGAAAAAGUUGAUUCAAAAUUUUAAACUAAGCUUAGUGCAACUCAACAUACUACCACUAUACAAUGGAAAAUUUGGUUACAUAAAUUAAACAAAAUUUUCUAUAGAAGCUACUGCCAUCGAAGAUCGAUGCUCAAUUGUUCAUACCUAAUAAUGGCUUUGUAGCCCUAUAAUAGUACGCAUUCUACUACAUCCAUCUUCCCAUCUUCAUUGACAUCAUUUUCCGUUCUUGUGUGCUUUAUGCUUUUCUGCAAUCCUCAGCUUCCUCUUGGCGUUUCUCAUUGGAUUGACCACAGCAAUGACCUUCUCUUCUUGUUUCCUCUUAUCCCUCUUCGAUUUGAUAUUCUUCCUUAUAUGACUGUAGAUUUGGACAAAAAUAUGUGUUCCUAUAACAUUGCUUAUGCUCCCCCGCACUCCUUCAGCCAGUUGUUUCACGUCGUCUGUGGAGAUGAUGCAAACAUAAUCAUCAAAUAUAAUAAGGACUACAAAGUUUAAUCACUCGGAAGCCAUAAAGGAAGUGAAGAAUAUUUGUAAAUGCAGCUAGCACUUGGCAUAUAAGAUAGUAUGGACAGACACUUGAAACAAUAAGUUAGCAAGAGAUUAAAUGAGAGACCA